rnacentral:rRNA from 1 species
GAUGAACGCUGGCGGCGUGCUUAACACAUGCAAGUCGAACGAAGCUGCUUAACUGAUCUUCUUCGGAAUUGAUGUUUUGUAGACUGAGUGGCGGACGGGUGAGUAACGCGUGGGUAACCUACCCUGUACAGGGGGAUAACAGUCAGAAAUGACUGCUAAUACCGCAUAAGACCACAGCACCGCAUGGUGCAGGGGUAAAAGCUCCGGUGGUACAGGAUGGACCCGCGUCUGAUUAGCUGGUUGGUGAGGUAACGGCUCACCAAGGCGACGAUCAGUAGCCGGCUUGAGAGAGUGAACGGCCACAUUGGGACUGAGACACGGCCCAAACUCCUACGGGAGGCAGCAGUGGGGAAUAUUGCACAAUGGGGGAAACCCUGAUGCAGCGACGCCGCGUGAGUGAAGAAGUAUCUCGGUAUGUAAAGCUCUAUCAGCAGGGAAGAAAAUGACGGUACCUGACUAAGAAGC